rnacentral:tRNA from 1 species
UCCCUCGUGGCGCAAUUGGCUAGCGCGUUCGACUGUUACUUGAAUUAAUUUAAGCUUGCAGACCAUCGAGAGGUUGGUGGUUCAAGCCCACCCGAGGGAG